rnacentral:rRNA from 1 species
CCUACGGGAGGCAGCAGUGGGGAAUAUUGGACAAUGGGGGGAACCCUGAUCCAGCCAUGCCGCGUGUGUGAAGAAGGCCUUUUGGUUGUAAAGCACUUUAAGCGAGGAGGAGGCUAACCUGGUUAAUACCCAGGCUUAGUGGACGUUACUCGCAGAAUAAGCACCGGCUAACUCUGUGCCAGCAGCCGCGGUAAU